AACGAACGCUGGCGGCAGGCUUAACACAUGCAAGUCGAACGCCCCGCAAGGGGAGUGGCAGACGGGUGAGUAACACGUGGGAACAUGCCCAAAGGUACGGAAUAUUCUCGGGAAACUGGGAGCAAUACCGUAUGUGCCCGAAAGGGGAAAGAUUUAUCGCCUUUGGAUUGGCCCGCGUUGGAUUAGCUAGUUGGUGGGGUAAAAGCCUACCAAGGCGACGAUCCAUAGCUGGUCUGAGAGGACGACCAGCCACACUGGGACUGAGACACGGCCCAGACUCCUACGGGAGGCAGCAGUGGGGAAUCUUGGACAAUGGGCGCAAGCCUGAUCCAGCCAUGCCGCGUGAGUGGUGAAGGCCCUAGGGUUGUAAAAUUCUUUCGACGGGGAAGAUAAUGACGGUACCCGUAGAAGAAGCUCCGGCUAACUUCGUGCCAGCCGCCGCGGUAAUAC
rnacentral:rRNA from 1 species